UCGGGAGCUGAGACGGCCGGCAGGGGCGGGGCAGGGGCCGGGGCCGGCGGCAACACCCUUCUCCAGCCCCUCGUGGCCCCCGCUCGCUCCUCUCGCGGCCUUUCCGGGCAAUAAGGGGCGAUGAACUUGGCCGCCCUUCGUAGCCCUCUCCCCGAUUUCGGACUGUGUGAAGUUAGCGGCAGAAAGAAUGCCGCAUUUCACCUGAGGUCGGAUGAAGCUGACACCCGAGGAGAAAGAGCGUCUUGAGACCCACUGAGCUCCUGGCCUGGUGGCGCAGGCAGAGGCGAAGCUCAGGAGCACCUGCUUGGUACGAGGCCACGUGCCAUGGCCUGGGCAUGGGUGCCAUGUGGUAAGGGCGCAGGUGCGUGUGGCAGCCCUGGCUCUCUGGCUCGGCCUCAGUUUCCCUGACGGUCUGGUGAAGACGCCAUCCGUCUAUCUCACAGGCUCUACAGAGCAGGUACUUGGGAGCCUCUUUGCUCCUUUUUAAGUGUGUGCAGUGCUGGUGGGUUUCACAGAGAGUCCAGCUUCAGUCCUGGGUCAGCGCCCAUUACCUGGGAGAGAACGGGGCCCCCACCUGAGGAGGCAGCUCUGUGCCCUGUGUGAGCAAGGCGUCUGCCACGGCGUCCUUGAGGGGUCUCGGCUCACCUGGGUGCGAGUGGCCCAGGGAAGCACGGAUUGCUCGCCUACCUCCAGGAACCCCGCUCUCCCUGAUCAGGGCUCGUCAUGUUCCAUUGCUGCUGGCACCUGUCUGUCCCUGUCCUCAGGAUUCCCAAGCCACAUGUCCUGUGGCUUAGCUGUCCCUGUCCUUCACAGCCACAGUGGCGGAGCUUUCUGAGACCCUGAAGAGGAACAGGAAUAUUCUGGCUUCUGUGCACCAAGACCUCUGUCUCUCCCGAUAGUGGAGGACAAGGAGAAAACUGCGGGUGAGGCUCUACCAGAUGUCCCAGACUUUUUAAAGUGGAUUUCCCCACUUAUUACAAAGAAAUCUCUGUUCACCCAGGAAAACUCCCUAACCAGAGAAACAGAAAAGAGAAUUGAGGUCAUUCGUAGGCCUGCCACGCAGAGCUAACCACCGUCCUGCGUUUUUCACGUUGGGAUCUUAAUGUAAAGAGAUUCUGGCACUGUGCUGACUACUGGCUUCGUGUGGUCAGCUUUUUCUCCUGCCAUUAGGGUUCUGGGACGACUUUCCUUGGUGGCAUAACACAUCCAUUUUUGUCGGGUCAUCUGUGACUAACCAACAGAACUGAACAAACAUUUUAUUGAAAUUAUGAGAGACCACAAAAAAGUCAGCGCUCUCCUUGGAUUAGCUCCGGAGUGAAUAAAUCAACCUGCGCUCCCACCCUUGGUGGCAGACGAGGGAUUGAGAGGCACAGCAGGCAAACGCCCCGCGGCUAGGUGCAAGCAGCGCACGCUCCACAGCUUGGGCGCAGGCCUGGCUCAUCCGCAAGUUAAUCUUGAAAAGCCAGCUCCUUCUUAGGGUUAAGAGAACCCAUAUCAAUAGCACAAAGCACAGGAAGCACUUUUUAAAAUAUAAUUAUGGAGGGAAAGAGGUACUUAAGAGAAAACAGGAAGCGUGUUUGGGGAAGAUUAGCCCAACAGUGGGAAAGCAAAGCCACCAUCCUACGUGGGACCCAUUUCCCGGGGGAGGCUGCAGUGCCCGCGUCCUGCUGAGUGCCCACGCGGCUGCUCACCUCCAGAGCCUCCUCAGAGAAUGUGUACCGAGCACCCAGGAAGCAGAAGGCAGCGGGCCCUGCCCCAGGGGAGCUGAAGACGCCCUCAAGGGCUUCAUAGCAGAGGGGCCGGCAGGUGGCACACGAUCGCAGCACGGGGCACCGUGGGCCUUUCUGUGUGUGGUUUUGGGGUGCAGCGUGCUCUCGGGGUGGACCUUGUCAUAGAGGUACCAUCUGACACCACAGCAGAGCAAGCGGAAGAAUACGUUCUGGGAAGUGGACCUGAGCCAGCACCAAGUGACAGCACGUGUGCCCUCGCCCUCCUCAGAGGACGAAGAGACGGAGGGCAGGUCCCCACCCGGGAGCGCCAUGCCACAUUCCCCAGGCUUAGCUGUCCCCGCCGGCUCUCUUCUCCAGUGUCAGGUCUGCACUUGGGAAGGACUCACAGAGCCGGGGAGACAGGAGUCAGCUGGCUGCUCUCAUGGCCACUGGCAGAUGUGCUCUGCUCUAGAACGUUCUCUCUGGUGUGCAGCCCCCUUGGAACAGUGGCCUGUCACCUCAGCUCACCCCUCCUCAUUCCAAGGCGAGUUCUCGCUUACUUUGGGUGCUGCCCCUGUUGCUCUGGACCCCUGACGGCUGCAACUGGAGAAAUGCCCCGGCCGGAGCCUCUGCCACCGAGGGUCUGGGGAGAGGCCCAGCAGCCCAGCGGACACCACCCAGCACCUUUCUCCUACACAGCAGGGCCCUUUACGAAGGUCACUAGCAACAAAACACUGUCCACGCUGCGAGGCGCUCCAGCCCGAGCAUCACCAUAGCAAUACCAUGACUGGCACACGGGCACCCACGCCCGCCUCACAGCUACAAAACCGAUGGAAACGUGGAGCCCUGAUUGCCCUAUUCUGCUUCCGUUUUGCCUAGAGACGGUUUCAGUGGCCUCCGCAGUCACCCCGACAGGAAGCAGUCACCCCGUCUCCAUCAGCAGAGCUGGCAGCCGCCCCACCCAGAGGCAUGGGAAGAGCGUCUGUCUACUAGGUGCCCGGGACACGCUGCAACCACCUAGCAUGAACUGGACACUCGUAAGACACUCAGAAAGCCCCAACAGCGCCCUGCUCGCCAGGGACCCACGUCUUCCCAGGAGUGUGGAAAAUAUCACAUGGCACUUCACCUGGGGGACUGGCAGUGUCCCGAGGACGGCCAGGCCACGUGCGCACUUGAGCAUUUGUGAGCCUACCCCAAAACAGCUUCCCUGCCCUGGGCACGGAGUCACCUGAGGAAAGAAGAAGCCAUGGUCCACCCAACAUCAGGUGCAGUGGAAUGGACACGUUCUGCACUCCCAUGGCUGAGAAGAACGACAUGGAAAGCAGAGUGGAAUAAGGGUCAAAACCUCUGAAGUGGGCUCGACUCAGGCCUGGUACCCAGGUCCCAGGGAGAGAGGCAUGGGAGCAACAUGGGGGCCAACUUCCCUGUCUCCAGGGAAGUCCCUCAGCACUGUGAACCAAGACGCAGAACAGGAAAUGGGCAGAAGCCCAGGGCCCGGAGGAGUCCCCAGAGAGCACAGAACAGGUCCCUGAAAAUUCCAAGUGGCCAAGAGCUAGCUUCACUUUGUUAAAAACUCACAGACUGUACUUUUUAGUAUAGUUUUUGGUUUACAAAAAUGAAUAAAUGAGGAAGAAAGAAAGAGAAAAGAAAGAAGGAAAUCAAGGGGAGAGUACACAGAAUCCCCACCUAUUCCCUAACCUGAGCCCCACCGCUAGCAAUCCUUAUUGUGCCCCCUUGGAUGGAUGAGCCACCCUGGUUACACGGCGAGCAGUGCUGACGCAUGGUGAACCAAAGGCCCGGGUUCACCUUGGCUCACUCUGGGGCCUGGUUCUAAGGUGUGGGUGGCGCCCAGAGACUCACAUUUCAACCUCUCCCUUUGCCUUUCGCAGGCUGUGGUACGACUGGAGCCAUCUGCACACAGCCUUUCCAGAUUGGCCUUUCCCCUUAGUGCCGUGCAUUUAGUGCCCUCCGUCUUUCCAUGGCUCCAAGCUCAUUUCUUUUUAUUGCUGAGUAAUAAUCCAUUGCCUUGAUGUACCACAGUCUGUUUAUAUAUCUUCAGUUUUUACAUGAAGACAAUUAUAAGAGAUGAGAAGGAAAAUGCUUUCUUCAUCCAUUAAUGCUCUUUCUUUUGCUUUUCUUCUGAACUGCCUUGUUCUGAAAUAA